rnacentral:rRNA from 1 species
AUUGAACGCUGGCGGCAGGCCUAACACAUGCAAGUCGAACGGUAGCACAGAGAGCUUGCUCUCGGGUGACGAGCGGCGGACGGGUGAGUAAUGUCUGGGAAACUGCCCGAUGGAGGGGAAUAACUACUGGAAACGGUAGCUAAUACCGCAUAACGUCUUCGGACCAAAGUGGGGGACCUUCGGGCCUCACACCAUCGGAUGUGCCCAGAUGGGAUUAGCUAGUAGGUGGGGUAAUGGCUCACCUAGGCGACGAUCCCUAGCUGGUCUGAGAGGAUGACCAGCCACACUGGAACUGAGACACGGUCCAGACUCCUACGGGAGGCAGCAGUGGGGAAUAUUGCACAAUGGGCGCAAGCCUGAUGCAGCCAUGCCGCGUGUAUGAAGAAGGCCUUCGGGUUGUAAAGUACUUUCAGCGGGGAGGAAGGCGAUGUGGUUAAUAACCGCAUCGAUUGACGUUACCCGCAGAAGAAGCACCGGCUAACUCCGUGCCAGCCGCCGCCGUAAGAC